UCCGAAAGGUGACCGACCUUCGGGAGCCAUUCAGGUGUUGCAUGGCUGUCGUCAGCUCGUGUCGUGAGAUGUUCGGUUAAGUCCGCUAACGAGCGCAACCCUCGCUGUGUGUUAUAUGUGUCACACAGGACUGCUGGUAUUAAGCCGGAGGAAGUGGGGACGACGUCAAGUCAGCAUGACCUUUAUAUCCAGGGCUACACACACGCUACAAUGGUCAGUACAAUGGGUUGCCAAGCCGCGAGGCGGAGCCAAUCCUAAAAAGCUGGCCCCAGUUCAGAUUGCAGUCUGAAACUCGACUGCAUGAAGUCGGAGUUGCUAGUAAACGCAGGUCAGCUAUACUGCGUUGAAUACGUUCCCGGGGCUU
rnacentral:rRNA from 1 species